rnacentral:rRNA from 1 species
UACGUAGGUGGCGAGCGUUGUCCGGAAUUAUUGGGCGUAAAGGAUGCGUAGGUGGAUAUUUAAGUGAGAUGUGAAAUCCCCGGGCUCAACCCGGGAACUGCAUUUCAAACUGGAUGUCUAGAGUGCAGGAGAGGAAAGCGGAAUUCCUAGUGUAGCGGUGAAAUGCGUAGAUAUUAGGAGGAACACCAGUGGCGAAGGCGGCUUUCUGGACUGUAACUGACACUGAGGCAUGAAAGCGUGGGUAGCAAACAGG